rnacentral:rRNA from 1 species
AUGGGGUCCAAUGAGGCGGACAAGCCGUUGCGGCGGAUCGGUGCGUUGUUCGAGCAGCUCGCGGCCGUCGCCAAGCCACAGCAGCAGCCCGCGAUGGCGGCGGGGGACUUCUCGCGUGCCUGCUCCAACGUCUCCGUCCUCUUUGGCUGCCUCGGCAUCGCCUUCAAAUUUUCCUUGAUGGACUACGUCGCUAAGGCAAGCGGCCGCUCCUCAGCCCCCCUCUCCUCCCCCGCUACCUGCUCUGCUGUCAGGUCUACGCCCGCAUGA